AAAAAUGGGUGUGAGUUCCAGUUGCUCCACGAUCAAAAAUUUGAGGAAAACGCUACUAAUUUUCGAGAAACCAGUACCUCAUGAUCCAUUAGAUCAUGGUAGGUGCAAUUUUAGGCGCGCAUUUUUCCCCGCUAUAUUCAAUUUUAAGGUUUAAGGCUUGAGAAUGCAGUUGACGGGGAGACCAUAGAUAUCAAAUAAAAUUCCGUGAGAGCAUCAAAGGGCAAACCACUGUGACGAAAGCAAGCAGAGAGCAGUUCAAUCGUUUUGUGAGAAUAGGCAUACAAUGGAUCAACCACAAAUAAAAAAAAAAAAAAAAGUGUGAAACUGAUAAGCGGAAACCCGAAAAACCAAGUGGAUUUGGAAAUUGAAUUUGAUGAGCUAGGCCAAAAUAUCGGAGCUACCCAAUCUGUUUAGCAAUUAUUGUGGAGUCAUGGUAAGGACGAUAUCUAUCCUCAUAUUGCGUUGGGAUGAAGUUCCUAAGGCUGAAGUUGAUGAAUUGUGGUAAAACAUUAAGAAACAUUGGAAUAUAGAAGAUGAUAGGCACAAAAAACAAGUACUAAAAAUUUGCAAUCAGGCAUGGAAGGCUUACAAGAGAAGGCUUGUUACCGAAUACCUAAAGAAGGGUAAAAAUCCAUACCUAGACGAGCCUACAUGGAACGCUUUUGUUCAACUCAAAACAUCACCGAGCUUCCAGGUUUUGCUUACUUUACCCCUCUUUAUAUGAUAAUAGGACAUUGUAAUAUUUCUAAUUCUGCUACUUCUUUCCAGGAAAUAAGCAACAAAGCUACAGAGACUACAAAGUUGAAUAAGUAUCCGCCUCGGAUAGGCCCACGUGGUUAUGGUGUUAUGAAACCUGAAUGGGAAAAAGAGAUGGAGUCUGGUGAUUCAACAGAGCUCCAUAAUAUAAGAAGUGAACGUGCAAGAAAUUUUAUCCUUGCUAGGUUAAAACAUGAUCCCACAGGGAUAUACUCGUUACCUACUGAUCUCUAAUCCUUGGCAUCUGAAUUGAUUGAAAAAGAUACCCAAUUAUCUCAUGGAGAUUGGUUUCCUGGACCUGAAGCCGAUGUGCUUACAGAGGUGUUAGGACCCGAGCAUCCAGGUCGUACGAGGUCUGUUGGGCACAAUGUUGGCUUGAGACAAUCCAUGCCUAUGAUUGAUAAGAAAAAAAGGAAGAGCCAUGAUAAAUGUAACUUGGAAGAUAUUAAGGAGAAGAUGAAGAUCGAGGUUGAGGCUAUGAUGGAAGCCAAGAUAGAAGAGAUGAAUGAUCAGAUUGAAGAGAUGAAAACAUAUAUGCAUUAUUUUCUCUCAAAGAAUGAAGGCAUACACAUUACCAGUCCGGUGUUGAAGAAAAAUAGUGUUGUCUCGACUGUAUCAGAUGAGUUGGA